GGCACAUUUCAGAGUAGUAUGUCUCUUCUAUGUAGUGGCAGAACUAGACCUGGCAUCUCCUCCUCUGCUCUCUCCACAGGAGCACCCAUCUCUCCUGUUUGGGGAAUGAAGGGUGGUUCUAGUCACGGGAUAAUCUUCACUUCCAUGGAGAUGGUUUCUUCUCUUGCGGUGUGAUAGAAACAGUUCUUUUCAUCCCUGCCCUGCAAAGUACCGAUGAUUUGGUUUAGGGCAGGUUACCUAACUUCUCUGAUCUUCACGUUUCUCAUUUAUAAGUAUGAAAACAAUACCCACCUCAAAAAAUUGUUACAAAGAUUGAGUCACUUAAUGUGUUUCAGAUAGUAGGUAGCACUGCCGGGUAUAUACUUUGAAUGGCAGCAAAUGCUAAUUUCUUCAUUUAAUUCAAAAUUACUGAGUUCUCUGGAAAGGCUUUCUCCACUUGAUGAGGAAAUGACUCUCGAAUUGAACUGUCCUCGCAGCCAGUGAUCCCAUAGAUAACAGGGUGACCCCUCUCCAGGAUCAAUAUCAAUCUUAACAGAACACGGAUCAGCCUUGUUAUGUUCACAUGUCCACCUUCAGACCAUGAUAGUGACCAGAGUGAUGAGAUACUUUGACCAUCUUAUGUCCUUUGACCACUUCUAUGGUGAGAAGUGUAGACAGAUAAAAAAAAAUGCCCAUUAUUCAAGUGUGACUGAUGUCAGGUGGUGAAGAGAUGGAGGAGAGGCAGCAUGGAAGCUUUGCAAGGCUAGACACACCUUUCCUCAUAUUUUUUUAAUUAAAUUAUAGUUUAUUUCCAAUGUUGUGCAAAUUUGUGCUGUACAGCAAAGUAACAUAUAUACAUUCCCUGUCUUAUGUUAUUUUCCAUCGUGGUCUAUCCCAAGAGGCUGGAUGUACAUCCCUCUUUGCUUAUCCUCUUUGCGUAUCCAUUCUAAAUGUAAUAGUUUGCAUCUACUAACCCCAAACUACCCAUCCAUCCCACUCCCUCCCUCUUCCCCCUUGGCAACCACAAGUCUGUUCUCUAUCAGGCACAACUUUUGAUGAACGGUUUGACUUAAUCUUUAAGGUUAUUCCUUUAAUUCCAUCAUUCUAAAACAACCAGCCAUUUUCUCUAAAAAAUACACCCAGGAGAAAUAAUAUUGUGUAUUUAGUAUUAAGAAGAAUGAAUAAAGAAACACAAUAUGGAAAAGUAAAUUAUCUGGAAUAACGUGACUAGGAGACAAGAGCCUAAGAAACCAUCAUAAUCUAUCUAUGGGGUUUUAUAAAGUCUGACUGCACAAAAUUGUAGAAUAUCUGCCACCUAGAUACCCCUAGUGGGCUUAAUGUCUAGUUCUAAUAUCUAUAAUGAGUCAGGCACUCCUGGAGAAAUCUGGAUGAAGCAACAAGAAAAGAGUCAGAUGUGAAUACGUCUAAGAGAGAAGGCGGGACAGGGAGCAAUAAGAUAUUGAAAAUGUACCUUUAAGUAUAUACCUCUGGGCAGGUGCAGAGCUAAUAUCACAUUUUCAUGUAUAUAAUAAUAACAAUAAAAAAUAAUAAAAAAUAGCCUCAUGUCUAUACCGUGUAUUGUGUGCCUGUACUAAGCACCGCAUAUAUCAUGUAAUCCUCGCAAGGGGUAAGGCAGGGCUAUCGAUCUCAUUUUGACACCAAUUAGAGGUAACAAAAACAAGGAGAGGGUAAAAGGCCACUUAUUAAAGGAAAUAACAUUUUUCCUGACAAGUUGCAACCUUCUUUCACCUAUUGGAAUGUCAAUUUGACACUAUCUUCAUCUAGCACAGCAAUUAUCUUUAAAUAUAACCAUAGAUUCAUUUUAUGUGAAAUUGUAUGCGAGAAAUCAUGUCCUUACGUUAGGAGAGAACUUCCAAAUUUAUCUUAGGACCCACGUCUAUUGGUGUCAUUUCUGGAGGUUUUGUAUGUUACUUUCGGCCCGGUGACAAGAACAACUGUGCAUCUCUGUUCCUAUAGAGGGCAAAACAUUUCAUUUCUAAGGAUGCCAACUGGGAAAUAAAGCACUUUCUAUAAUUAACACUCUCUUUAGAAAGUAUCGUUUAUUUUUCCUAGUUAAUGGCAGAGAUGACCCUUAAGAGAAUUAAUGAAGGAAUCCAGAGACAGAUCACAGAUAUUUCAAAACAUCAGAUUUGAAAAAGGAUGUCAGCUGACCCCCCCCCAAGGAAGCAUAAUCUAUGUAAGCAGUCUCCCUUUAUCUUUAGUAUUUCUGUAAUGCAGAGUGUCCUUUGCUGCAUCUGUCUCUCUCUUAAGAAGCUAUGUUGACAAGCUACCAAAUUUCUCCUUCCUUCUGGGUACCUGGUGAGAGUUCCGUCGUGGCGCAGUGGUUAACAAAUCUGACUAGGAACCAUGAGGGGUUGAGGGUUCGAUCCCUGGCCUCACUCAGUGGGUUAAGGAUCUGGUGUUGCUGUGAGCUGUGGUGCAGGUCGCAGACACGGCUCGGAUCCCGUGUUGCUGUGGCUGUUAUGUAGGCCGGCAGCUACAGCUCUGAUUAGACCCCUAGCCUG
rnacentral:lncRNA from 1 species